CAUGCAUGUGUAAGUACAUGUGAGUACACGAAACCGCGCAAAGCUCAUUAGAACAGCUACAAUGUAUACGUGGAGAAUAUCUAAACGGAUAUCUGCGGUAAAUCUGGAGCUAAUACGUGAAUAAAUUGUGAUAUAGUUAUCUAUAUUGCAGCAGUUAUUAGAAGAAAACCAAUGGGUUCGCCCUAUAUUGUUAACUCUGGAUAAUGCGUAAUGAUGUGUGUAUACACUUCAUGACCCGUAUUAGUAUCUGCCCUAUCAACUAUAUAACAGUGUAUUGAACGGUUAUGGUGUUGCCGGGUAACGGAGAAUUAGGGUUCGUCUCCGGAGAGAAUGCCUUAAAAACGGCUUUCACAUCCAAGGAAGGCAGCAGGCGCGAAAAUUACCCACUCUCAGUUUGAGGAGGUAGUGACGUGAAAUGACAAGUUUUGUUCUUUAUAGGACAAAAGAUUGGAAUGGUUUGAUUAUAAAUCCAUUAAAGAUAAUCAAUGAGAGGGCAAGUCUGGUGCCAGCAGCCGCGGUAAUUCCAGCUCUCAUACUGCAUUGAAUUGCUGUUGCGGUUAAAAAGUUCGUAGUUGGAAAUAGAUAGGGAUAUGUGGUUUGUUAUAUCGUAACAAUACUAUAUUCCCUAUUCAAUAUGUUGUAUAUUGUACAACAUAUGGUUACUUUGAGUAAAUCAAAGUGCUUAGAACAAGCGUAAUGUUAGAAUGGUUGUGCAUGGAAUAACAAUUUAAAGCAUUGAUAUAUGUUUUGUUGGUUUUAAUAUUAAUGAAUGAUUAAAAGGAACAAACGGGGGCAAAAGUAUCAUAAGGCGAGAGGUGAAAUUCGUGGACCCUUGUGAGACUGCCUAAAGCGAAAGCAUUUGCCAAGAAUGUUUUCAUUAAUCAAGAACGAAAGUCAGAGGAUCGAAGGCGAUUAGAUACCGCCCUAGUUCUGACCGUAAACUAUGCCAUCUAACGAGUUGAUAUUGGUUAUAUAAUAUUGCCAUUUUAACGAGUUAUACGGAAACGAAAGUCUUUCGGUUCCGGGGGGAGUAUGGUUGCAAAACUGAAACUUAAAGGGAUUGACGGAAAGUCACCACCAGAAAUGGAGCCUGCGGCUUAAUUUGACUCAACACGGGAAAACUUACCCGGUCUAGACACUAAAAUGAAUGACAGACUGAUAUAUCUUUCAAGAUAUAGUGCAAAGUGGUGCAUGGCCGUUCUUAGUUCGUGGAGUAAUCUGUCUGGUUAAUUUCGAUAACGAACGAGACUAGAACGUUGAUUGUUGGGGAGURUAUUGAUUUUUGUAUAUUCCUCUCCAAUACGGAUAUGCAAAGUAAAUUGCCUGAAAACUGGCAAUAACAGGUCUGUUAUGCCCUUAGUUGUCCGGGGCCGCACGCGCGCUACAAUGGAAAUUGCAGCGGGUAUGUAAAAACUGGAUCGAAAGAUUUGGUUAAACGUGUUAAAUUAUUCCGCAUUUGGGAUCGGAAACUGUAAUUGUUUUCGUGAACGAGGAACUUCAAGUAAGUGUGUGUCAUUAGCGCACGCUGAUUACGUCCCUGUCUUUUGUACACACCGCCCGUCGCUGCCUAGAACUGAGUUGAUUCGAGAAGACGGGGGAGGUGAUGUAUGUAUUUAUACAUAUAUUGCUGAACCCGUUUGAUCGUAUUGGCUUGAACCGGGCAAAA
rnacentral:rRNA from 1 species